rfam:Canis lupus familiaris chromosome X, whole genome shotgun sequence.
GCCUGGCUGGCUCAGUUGGUAGAGCACACGACUCUUGAUCUUGGGGUUGUGAGUUCAAGCCCCAUGUUGGGUG